AUACGUAGGGGGCGAGCGUUGUCCGGAAUGAUUGGGCGUAAAGGGCGCGUAGGCGGCCCGGUAAGUCUGGAGUGAAAGUCCUGUUUUUAAGAUGGGAAUUGCUUUGGAUACUGUCGGGCUUGAGUGCAGGAGAGGGAAGUGGAAUUCCCAGUGUAGCGGGGAAAUGCGUAGAGAUUGGGAGGAACACCAGUGGCGAAGGCGACUUACUGGACUGUAACUGACGCUGAGGCGCGAAAGUGUGGGGAGCAAACAGGAUUAGAUACCCUGGUAGUCCACACUGUAAACGAUGAAUGCUAGGUGUAGGGGGUAUCGACCCCUUCUGUGCCGCAGUCAACACAAUAAGCAUUCCGCCUGGGGAGUACGGCCGCAAGGUUGAAACUCAAAUGAAUUGACGGGG
rnacentral:rRNA from 1 species